ensembl:lncRNA
ACAACAGCCAGAUUGUUUCUUCUUCACUCACUGUGCACAGUGUGUGUUGGCACUACAUUGCAGUAGCUCAGAAAUCUCAAACUGUCAGGAAAAACAAACCAUGCCCUACAGACAGAAUAGAAGAGUGAAGAAAAAGCACAGAAAGGAAACUAGAAUUCAUCUUAAUUUAACAAAAGCCUGCUAUAUUUGCCAACAGUGUGGUAGAGUGUACUUCUGGUUGCUCCUUAUGUCUGUGUAUGAUCUUAACCUCCUUGCAGCUAUACCCACAUCUAGAAUAGGGAAAGCUGUGCGGAAAGAAAACCAACUGGCCAACUGCUGAACUUCAUUCCACAUGCCAGAUCUCCAGAAUAACUGCACAGGAAGACUUCAGUUCUUCAGCAAGUUAUGGCCAACAGGGGAAUGAAGAUGACAACGUGCUUCUGGAGCACUGUGAAUGAGCAUCCAGCAUCCAGGAUUACAGGGAAGACCUUUCCUUUUUUUUUUUUUUUUUUUUUUUUUUUUUUUUUUUUUUUUUUUUUUUAGGAAGGAGAGGGCUAGAAAAGUGAGGAUGGGCUCUGCCAUCUCCAUUCCCAGCUAAGAACUUUAUCUAAAACUCAUUUAAGGAUUAUAUGAAUUUCUUUCAAAGCAGUGCUGUAGGCCCAUACAAAUGUAAUAUUUUCCAGAGUACUGUCACAGAUUUCUAAUAA